GACGAACGCUGGCGGCGUGCUUAACACAUGCAAGUCGAACGGAAAGGCCCUGCUUUUGUGGGGUUCUCGAGUGGCGAACGGGUGAGUAACACGUGAGUAACCUGCCCUUGACUUUGGGAUAACUUCAGGAAACUGGGGUUAAUACCGGAUAGGAGCUCCUGCUGCAUGGUGGGGGUUGGAAAGUUUCGGCGGUUGGGGAUGGACUCGCGGCUUAUCAGCUUGUUGGUGGGGUAGUGGCUUACCAAGGCUUUGACGGGUAGCCGGCCUGAGAGGGUGACCGGCCACAUUGGGACUGAGAUACGGCCCAGACUCCUACGGGAGGCAGCAGUGGGGAAUAUUGCACAAUGGGCGGAAGCCUGAUGCAGCAACGCCGCGUGCGGGAUGACGGCCUUCGGGUUGUAAACCGCUUUCGCCUGUGACGAAGCGUGAGUGACGGUAAUGGGUAAAGAAGCACCGGCUAACUACGUG
rnacentral:rRNA from 1 species